UGCCUAUUCAGUGUCAAAUCUAUCCAUAAGCGAACAGCAGCUAGUAGCAGUAAGAAUUGAGAAAAGAUAAUAACAGUGACAACAGUUAUUUAAUACAAAGGGAACUAAAAGCAAGAGGCGAGUUCUAUAAAAAAAAAUGUCAAAUCUAUCCAUAAGCGAACAGCAGCUAGUAGCAGUAAGAAUUGAGAAAAGAUAAUACCAGUGACAACAGUUAUUUAAUACAAAGGGAACUAAAAGCAAGAGGCGAGUUCUAUAAAAAAAAAUGUCAAGUCUAUCCAUAAACUAACAGAAGCUAAGAUCAGUAACAACUGAGAAGAGAUAAUAGUGACAACCGUUAUUUAAUACAAGAAGAACUGAAAGAAAGAAGCGAGUUCUAUAAAAACUGCACAAAUAAAAGAUUGUGGCAAAUAAUCGACAAACCAAGUGGUAUAAAUUCAAACCGAAAAAACAAAAUAUCACACAAGCAGAGACUAUGGACGACGAACAGAGUAGUCAGAAGAAACCUACAAAUCGUCAGAGGGAACCUGGGCUUCAGCCUCCUAUGGGCGAAGGACAGAGUAGUCAGAGGAAACCUGGGCUUCAGCCUCUUAUGGGCGAAGGACAGAGUAGUCAGAAGAAACCUGCGCCCCAGCCUCCAGUAAAUACCAAUGAUUUUAAAUGCCCAUAUGAUAAUCAAUCUUUUAACACAGCCGAUGAGCUUCACGAACAUAUGUAUAUCGCUCAUUUCUCUUCUUCGGCACCAGACCCAUAUCCUAAACAAUGAACAUAUCGCAUCAAUUUAAAGUAAUCAUGAUGACUGACAACGGCUUAUUUAAUUUCAUUCUCUUUUCUUUUCUUUUUUGGUCUGUAAAGUCUGACAUUAAUUUUUUAAUAUAUUGCGUCCACUUGUACGAUAGCUGAUAACUUCGAUUCAUACUGUAUAUGCGACACAAUUAAUACGCAGAAAGAAUUUUGUCUUAAAAUUUAUCCUGAAAUUCAUGGCAAUCAUAGGAUAAUAACAAAUUGCAAGAAUUUUAAAAACGUUUCCCUGAGAUUAGUAUUUUUAUCAUAAUAACAAAAAUUACCUUCUACAAUAAGAUAUAAAAAUG